CGUUCCGAACUUCGCAAAUUCGUUGCCAAGUUCAAAAGUUCAUAAUGAAAUUCACAAACAGGUUUGUAAACAAAGCCUCUGAUUGGCUAUUAAACCAAACCAGCCAAUCAAAUGCCCAGUUUACAAACCUGUUUGUGAAUUUCAUUAUGAACUUUUGAACUUGGCAACGAAUUUGCGAAGUUCGGAACGAAGUUCGGAAUCUUACGAUGAAAGGUCAGCUGAAAUUGACUGUAAUAUGCG
rnacentral:lncRNA from 1 species